AGCGAACGCUGGCGGCAGGCCUAACACAUGCAAGUCGAACGAACCUUUCGGGGUUAGUGGCGGACGGGUGAGUAACACGUGGGAACGUGCCUUUAGGUUCGGAAUAACUCAGGGAAACUUGUGCUAAUACCGAAUGUGCCCUUCGGGGGAAAGAUUUAUCGCCUUUAGAGCGGCCCGCGUCUGAUUAGCUAGUUGGUUGAGGUAAUGGCUCACCAAGGCGACGAUCAGUAGCUGGUCUGAGAGGAUGAUCAGCCACAUUGGGACUGAGACACGGCCCAAACUCCUACGGGAGGCAGCAGUGGGGAAUCUUGCGCAAUGGGCGAAAGCCUGACGCAGCCAUGCCGCGUGAAUGAUGAAGGUCUUAGGAUUGUAAAAUUCUUUCACCGGGGACGAUAAUGACGGUACCCGGAGAAGAAGCCCCGGCUAACUUCCUG
rnacentral:rRNA from 1 species